AACCUGGUUGAUCCUGCCAGUAGUCAUAUGCUUGUCUCAAAGACUAAGCCAUGCAUGUCUAAGUAUAAGUAUUAUACAGCGAAACUGCGAAUGGCUCAUUAAAACAGUUAUAGUUUAUUUGAUAAUCGAAUUUACAUGGAUAACCGUGGUAAUUCUAGAGCUAAUACAUGCUGGUGUGCCCAACUUUUUGGAAGGGCGGUAUUUAUUAGAUAACAAGCCAAUAUUCCUCUGGUCUAUUGUGGUGACUCAUAAUAACUGAUCGAAUCGCAAGGCCUAUGGCCGCGAUAAGUCAUUCAAGUUUCUGCCCCAUCAGCUUUCGAUGGUAGUGUAUUGGACUACCAUGGCGUUUACGGGUAACGGAGGAUUAGGGUUCGAUUCCGGAGAGGGAGCCUGAGAAACGGCUACCACAUCUAAGGAAGGCAGCAGGCGCGUAAAUUACCCAAUCCUGACUCAGGGAGGUAGUGACAAGAAAUAACGGACCGAGGCCU
rnacentral:rRNA from 1 species